rnacentral:rRNA from 1 species
AUUGAACGCUGGCGGCAUGCCUUACACAUGCAAGUCGAACGGUAGAGCGGGGGAAACCCUGGCGACGAGUGGCGAACGGGUGAGUAGCGCAUCGGAACAUGCCCAAUAGUGGGGGAUAGCGCGGCGAAAGCCGGAUUAAUACCGCAUACGACCCACGGGUGAAAGCGGGGGACCGCAAGGCCUCGCGAUAUUGGCGCGGCCGAUGCCCGAUUAGCCAGUUGGUGAGGUAAUGGCUCACCAAGGCAACGAUCGGUAGCUGGUCUGAGAGGACGACCAGCCACACUGGGACUGAGACACGGCCCAGACUCCUACGGGAGGCAGCAGUGGGGAAUUUUGGACAAUGGGGGAAACCCCGAUCCAGCCAUGCCGCGUGCGGGAAGAAGGCCUUCGGGUUGUAAACCGCUUUUGGCAGGAACGAAACGGUGCGGGCGAAUAACUCGCACUAAUGACGGUACCUGCAGAAUAAGCACCGGCUAACUACGUGCCAGCAGCAGCCGCCGUAACAC